rnacentral:rRNA from 1 species
UGCAGUCGAACGGUGAAGCAGGAGCUUGCUCCUGUGGAUCAGUGGCGAACGGGUGAGUAACACGUGAGCAAUCUGCCCUGGACUCUGGGAUAAGCGUUGGAAACGACGUCUAAUACCGGAUACGAGACGCGAAGGCAUCUUCAGCGUCUGGAAAGAACUUCGGUCCAGGAUGAGCUCGCGGCCUAUCAGCUAGCUGGUGAGGUAAUGGCUCACCAAGGCGACGACGGGUAGCCGGCCUGAGAGGGUGACCGGCCACACUGGGACUGAGACACGGCCCAGACUCCUACGGGAGGCAGCAGUGGGGAAUAUUGCACAAUGGGCGCAAGCCUGAUGCAGCAACGCCGCGUGAGGGACGACGGCCUUCGGGUUGUAAACCUCUUUUAGCAGGGAAGAAGCGAAAGUGACGGUACCUGCAGAAAAAGCACCGGCUAACUACGUGCCAGCAGCCGCGGUAAUACGUAGGGUGCAAGCGUUAUCCGGAAUUAUUGGGCGUAAAGAGCUCGUAGGCGGUUUGUCGCGUCUGCUGUGAAAACCCGAGGCUCAACCUCGGGCCUGCAGUGGGUGCGGGCAGACUAGAGUGCGGUAGGGGAGAUUGGAAUUCCUGGUGUAGCGGUGGAAUGCGCAGAUAUCAGGAGGAACACCGAUGGCGAAGGCAGAUCUCUGGGCCGUUACUGACGCUGAGGAGCGAAAGCAUGGGGAGCGAACAGGAUUAGAUACCCUGGUAGUCCAUGCCGUAAACGUUGGGAACUAGAUGUGGGGGCCAUUCCACGGUUUCCGUGUCGCAGCUAACGCAUUAAGUUCCCCGCCUGGGGAGUACGGCCGCAAGGCUAAACUCAAAGGAAUUGACGGGGGCCCGCACAAGCGGCGGAGCAUGCGGAUUAAUUCGAUGCAACGCGAAGAACCUUACCAAGGCUUGACUAUACCAAAACCCCUGCAAAUGAAACUCUUUGGACCUCGUAUACAGGUGG